GCUUCCCUCACCACCUAGCAUAAUUGCUAUAACGUUAGCCACAGACAGUUAGCUUGGGUUAGCGUGUUAACAAAGCUUUUUCUGCCUGGGAGUUGCUGAGAAUGGUGUAGCCACCCAGGUGGAUCCUACCUUGUUGUAAGCGCAGUGUCUGAUCUGUGGCUGGGAGUCCAGGAGAGCAGCUCUGGGGAUGGAGGCUCUCUCUCUCUCAGUGUACUCCAGAAGCAGGCAAACCCUGACUGGCUCGAACAAAGCUCCUCAUCCCCAGAACAGGGGAGGAAUGUCCAGCAGGUCUGUGGUUCAGUGAGCCGACCGUCAUAUGUGUUUGACCACU